GGUCUUUCACAUCUCGCGUAGCAGCCUUGAGCCUCCUAGGUCUGUCGGUCUUCAAUCACUCUCUCAAACUCUCUAUCUCUCAUUCCCAACACCAUCUCUCGAUUUCUCUCUAUUUCUGCCUUCAUCCAAAAAAAAUUCACAUGCCUCCACCUCGGCCAAGCUCACGCCGCCGUCAAUUUCGAUGUCCUCUUCAGGGAAUUGUUUUCAGCUAGUUCACGCUCUUGGAUAUUUCAAGGUUCGAAUACACCCAGAUGAACAAGUCCAACGACAACGAUUGGUUCCGAAUAUCCGCCGCCAUCGGUGGACUGGCAAGUGCUGGUACGUCUACAACCUCCUCAAGUACGAGUUCGAUCUCCAGUUCAAUAUCCCCAUCACCUACCCUGCCACUGCAUCGGAAAUCGAGCUCCCUCAGCUAGACGGCAAGACCCAAAAGAUGUAUAUAGAGGGGAGAAGAUCUGCUUGACAGUGCAUUUCAAGCCGCUUUGGGCCAAGAACUGAUAGAGAGAAGCAACAAUUGCUGAGGCUCAAGCAUUAGGGGCAGUAGUUUGCUCUCAAGGUCCUUUGUUUGGAGGUGUUAAAAAAAUGUGAAGGCUUCAAGUGACAAUGUCCUUGUUUGUUGGAGGUCUCUGGAUAGUUUGAUAUUUCUUUGUAUAUCUCAUCGUUUUAUUGUUUACUUUAGAAGAUUACUUGUUUUUUCUUUUUUGUUCGGACAUCUUGUAUGUAUAUUUUCAUAUAUUUUAUAAUUAAAUACUUUUGCUAGGUUAA